UUCCGCUGUACAUAGCACGGCCAUGUCUAUAUUUUCUAGUGUCACACUCAAUUUUUUGUUGCUCCAUUUUUGAGGGGUUUCCUCUCUUUUUUUUGUGUGUUUUGUUGUGUUGAUGGCACUCCAUGGCAUUUUUUCUCCAUGCAUUUGCAUUUUCCACUAAUUUGACUUUUGUAUUGUUGCGGUCGGUGUGCACCCCUUCCACUGCCCUGCCUCUGGCCUGCAGCUCGUUUAUG
rnacentral:lncRNA from 1 species